AGUCUGUAAUCAAAACAGGGCGACUGCUAAUCAGUCACGAAGCUCCCUUGACGGGCGGCUUUGCGUCGGAGAUCAGCUCUACAGUUCAGAUUUAAUUUGAAAGUCAACUGGAAGCAGAGUAAGCUGAGGUCUGGUAUAUUUGGCUCCCCUCAAGGGGAGAUUUCUUGGUCGGUCAUCCAAAGCUUCACUGUCUCUUCCCACCUAAUUUUACAUUCCCCAUCUGUUCUCAUUUUGGGGUGAGGGAACUUUUUCCUUCUUACAUUUGACCCACACACAAAACUUGGAGAUGUGCUUCUUUUAGGGAGUUAUGCAUUCCCAUUGUGCACCCUGUGGAAAAGUGCAAAGACAAGAGUUUAGGCAAUUCACUGACCUCGGUGUAUAGUUUGAGCAAAUAUUUCAUUGUUUCAGAAAAGUAUCUGGAUUAAUUUUAUGUGGUGUUUGUAUUCCUCAGCUUUAUGUAACCACGGCUGUAAAAAAUAAAAAUCUUUAUUGUGCUAA